rnacentral:rRNA from 1 species
UUUAAUUGAAGAGUUUGAUCAUGGCUCAGAUUGAACGCUGGCGGCAGGCCUAACACAUGCAAGUCGAGCGGUAACAUUUCAAAAGCUUGCUUUUGAAGAUGACGAGCGGCGGACGG